rnacentral:lncRNA from 1 species
UGGGCUCUGAGAAUUCAUAUAAGACAAGCAGGAUUGGGCUCUUAAUUCCUAAAUUCUUCUUCCCGCAAUGCCCUCAAGUCAUGUAGUCCUCCAGGUAAGUUGGCUUUUUCACCCUUCUCUUAUUCUUGGUCUCUCCUUCCUCCUGCACCCUUGCCAUUGGUGCUUCCUGCGUAUUCCUAUCAUUCCAUGGCCCCUAAAAAUCCACCUUGUCCUCAAGGUGGUAAGCUUGGCAUAGUGUUGCCCAAUUCUCCCAAGAUGCUUCAUCAGGGGACAUUCCCUG